rnacentral:rRNA from 1 species
GACGAACGCUGGCGGCGUGCCUAAUACAUGCAAGUCGAGCGCUGAAGGUUGGUACUUGUACCAACUGGAUGGGCAGCGGACGGGUGAGUAACGCGUGGGGAAUCUGCCUUUGAGCGGGGGACAACAUCGGGAAACGAAUGCUAAUACCGCAUGAAAACUUGAAACACAAGGUUUAAGAUUGAAAGAUGCAAUUGCAUCACCCAAAGAUGAUCCCGCGGUUUAUUAGCUAGUUUGUGAGGUAAAGGCCUAACAAGGCGAACAUACAUAACCGAACUGAGAGGGUGGUCCGCCCACUUGGGAACGAGACCACGCCCAAGAUCCCACGGGAGGGCGACGUAGGGGAUCUUCGGCAAUGGACGUAAGUCUGACCGGUCAACGCCGCGUGAGUGCAGAAGGUUUUCGGAUCGUAAAACUCUGUUGGUAGAGAAGAACGUUGGUGAGAGUGGAAUGCUCAUAAAGUGACGGUACCUACGCAGAAAGCGACGGCUAACUACGUG